UACGUAGGGUGCAAGCGUUUAAUCGGAAUUACUGGGCGUAAAGCGUGCGCAGGCGGUUCGUUAAUGUCCGAUGUGAAAGCCCCGAGCUCAACUUGGGAAUGGCAUUGGAAACUGGCGGGCUGGAGUGUGGCAGAGGGGGGUGGAAUUCCACGUGUAGCAGUGAAAAUGCGUAGAGAUGUGGAGGAACACCGAUGGCGAAGGCAGCCCCCUGGGCCAACACUGACGCUCAGGCACGAAAGCGUGGGGAGCAAACAGG
rnacentral:rRNA from 1 species